AAUCAACGCUGGCGGCGUGCCUCAGACAUGCAAGUCGAACGAUUAAAGCUCUCUUCGGAGAGUGUAUAGAGUGGCGCACGGGUGAGUAACACGUAAGUAAUCUACCCUCGAGUGGGGAAUAACAACCGGAAACGGUUGCUAAUACCGCAUAAUGCAGCGGCACCGCAAGGUGACAGUUGUUAAAGAUUUAUCGCUUGAGGAGGAGCUUGCGGCAGAUUAGCUAGUUGGUAGGGUAACGGCUUACCAAGGCUACGAUCUGUAACCGGUCUAAGAGGACGGUCGGUCACACUGACACUGAAUAACGGGUCAGACUCCUACGGGAGGCAGCAGUCGGGAAUUUUGGGCAAUGGGCGAAAGCCUGACCCAGCAACGCCGCGUGAAGGAUGAAGUAUUUCGGUAUGUAAACUUCGAAAGAAUAGGAAGAAUUAAUGACGGUACUAUUUAUAAGGUCCGGCUAACUACGUGCCAGCAGCCGCGGUAAGCUCGUCUCUA
rnacentral:rRNA from 1 species